rnacentral:rRNA from 1 species
UACGGAGGGUGCAAGCGUUAAUCGGAAUUACUGGGCGUAAAGCGCACGUAGGCGGUUUGCUAAGUCAGCUGUGAAAUCCCCGGGCUCAACCUGGGCACUGCAGUUGGAACUGGCAAGCUAGAGUAGGGUAGAGGGGUGUGGAAUUCCAGGUGUAGCGGUGAAAUGCGUAGAUAUCUGGAGGAACAUCAGUGGCGAAGGCGACACCCUGGACUCAUACUGACACUGAGGUGCGAAAGCGUGGGGAGCGAACAGG